rnacentral:rRNA from 1 species
GUUGGUGAGGUAACGGCCCACCAAGGCAAUGAUGGGUAGCCGGCCUGAGAGGGUGACCGGCCACAAGGGGACUGAGACACGGCCCUUACUCCUACGGGAGGCAGCAGUGGGGACUAUUGGACAAUGGACCGCAAGUCUGAUCCAGCAAUUCUGUGUGCACGUUGACGUUUUUCGGAAUGUAAAGUGCUUUCAGUCGGGAAGAAGUCAGUGACGGUACCGACAGAAGAAGCGACGGCUAAAU